AACAGUACAAGCCGGUCAUUAUCUAUCUUAUGGAAACUAAAGCCAAAGAAGAAAAGACUAGGAAGUUAGCUAGGAGUUUACAUUUCAAGAAUGCAUUUUGUGUAGAGCCCAGGGCUUAUCCGAAGGGCUAUGUGACUUGAGGAAUGAAAAAGUGGAUGUUUCAGUUUAUUCUUGGUGCCAUAAUUUUAAUGCUAACCAACCAUGAAAGUGUUGUUUUACUUAUGGCAAUCCCAUUUUUCAGCAACGGAGGAAAACUUGGAAGCUGCUGGCCAAAGCCAGUGACUUGGCAGAUGACCCAUGUUGCUUUAUUGGUGAUUUCAAUGAUAUCUUAAAUCAGGAGGAGAAAACCGGCAACCACCCCAAGACCAAAAACCAAAUUGAAAAGUUCAGAGAGCUAGUUAAUAAGAGGGAGCUCAUGGAUAUUGACCUUAAGGGGAGUAAAUUCACAUGGUUUAGCAAUCCAAGAGACAAUAUUGUCACCCGAGAAAGAAUCAACAGAGCAUUAGUGAAUUGGGGUUGGAGAAAAAUGUUUGAACAUGUCACACUCAUAGCUACACCAGCUAUUUCAUCUGACCACUAGCCCCUCCUUCUCAACACUAAACCAGAGCAGAGAAGACCUAGAAUGUUCAGAUAUGAAUCAUAUUGGGAUGACAGGAAAGACUGUUGGUGGCAUUUGGGCGAGUUUGGCAAAGUGCAAAGAGAAUUCGUGGAUGCUGUCAACCUUGACCUCUUCACACUCCAACGAGUAUAACUUGAGCUAUAAAGGUCCAAAUGACGCGGUUCCAGCGGCACUAGAAAGCUGAGCUUUCCAACGAUAUAUAAUAGUUUAUACUUACUCGCUGGAUUUGGAGCAGAAGGUGGCGCCAAACGCCACGUCACGGCGUUUGGCGCCAUGUCGAACGCCAUACAUCACAAGUCCUCAAGCCAAACGCCUAGAUUACCAAGUAUGGCGCCACACCUACUCCUCAAGUUGGACGUCACUCUCUCUAAGCCAAACGCCAUGCACUC